rnacentral:rRNA from 1 species
UAAUACCGGCAGCUCAAGUGGUAGCCGCGAUUAUUGGGCCUAAAGCGUUCGUAGCCGGAUAAGUAAGUCUUUGGUUAAAUCCUGCGACUUAACCGUGGGAAAUCUAGAGAUACUGCUUGUCUUGAGACCGGGAGAGGUUGGAGGUACUCCCAGGGUAGGGGUGAAAUCCUGUAAUCCUGGGGGGACCACCUGUGGCGAAGGCGUCCAACUGGAACGGGUCUGACGGUGAGGGACGAAACCUAGGGGAGCGAGCCGGAUUAGAUACCCGGGUAGUCCUAGGCGUAAAUGAUGCGAGUUAAGUGUGGGGGCAUCUACGAGAUGGCCCUGUGCUGUAGGGUAGCCGUUAAACUCGCCGCCUGGGGAGUACGGUCGCAAGGCUGAAACUUAAAUGAAUUGACGG